CUGUUUUACUCUACCGUUAGGAUGAUGGCUUGAAGUCAAAGUCAAGAACACCUUUCUCCGAGGAUCGCUGCCUUGUUAUGGUGGAAGGCUUGAGAUCCCUAGAGCGAUGACGCCUGGAGUUUUGCUCCUUGUGGCUCUAUGAAACCAUGUCUUUCAACAUCUGACCCUAUGUCCCUGUGGUGAGAAGUGAUAAACGUGUAAGGCCAGCUAACAGGGCUCUGGCGAAGCUGUAUAGCACCGUCCCCUGUACAGUGGAUAAAAUGGAUUAGAGAGGCAUUGAUGAACUCCAACUUUGGAUGAUGGAGAUGGAAGGUCAUCGACGGGCUAUGAUCCACCGGGAACUAGGGGCCCAACAAACUAUAGACAUUUCUAAAAGAAAUUUCAAACAGAUCAUCUUGGUUCACGGGAGGUGGAGAUAAUAUGAAUAGCCACGCGUCCGUCUGUUCAGUUGCUCUGCAGAUCAGAUGCAUAAUUUGCCAUUGAAGCUUCAUUAGCGGUUUCAUAGGAUUAGCCGUCUCUACAGGAGGGACUGCCUCAUGAAUGCAACAACCAUCAUCAGAGAGCCCCACCAUCUGGCCCAUGCCACCUUCACGCAGCUCCCAUCGGGCAGGAGGUGCAGAAGCCUGAAGUCCCAUGCCAUCAAGUUCAAGAACAGCUCUUGCCUUCAACCAUUUGACUCUUGAAAGAACUGGCAAAACCCUAAUCAAUAUAGUUUAGAAACAUUUACACCUCUGUAGCAUUGGCUUAUUUGGUUCUAAUUGUUUUCUUUUUUGUGACAAUUGUGUUUAUAUUUCUGUUUUUCUCUUGAGAAACCACAUAUCUGAUGCUGUGAGCCUGUGAUGCUGCUGGAAGGAAGUUUUUCAUUGCACCUGUGCACACAUGAACUCGUCCAGUGGGAAAAUAAACUCAUCUUUGACCUACAGUUCAAUCUUCCCUUUGUGUCUGUCUCUGGGACUGUGUUUGUAGUCGGUGCUGAAGUUAUUGUUUGACUCGUUUACACUGUGGCUAAGGCCAUCCCAAGCUGCCAUUGAAGAAGGAAGUGGUGAGCAACUUUCUGAAACUACUUCAGUCCCUCCGUGGUGAAGGUGGGGGAGAGGGCUCCAGCAUUUCAACUCUGUGACAAUGCAGGGAAAACGAGACAUAUAUAUAUAUUUUAAUUAUUGAGAUAAAGUGUGGAGUAGGACUUUCUGGCUCUUCGAACUACACCAGCCAGCAAUCUUUUGAUUUAAUCCUAGCCUAAUCAUGGGACAAUUUACAAUGAACAAUUAACCUACCAACUGGAACAUCUUUAGACUGUGGGAGGAAACUUCCGCAGUCACGGGGAGAAUGUACAAACUCCUUACAGGCAGCUGCAGGAUUUGAACCAGGAUUGCUGGUACUGUAAAGCGUUGUGCUAACCAGUAAAUUAUCCUGCCAUUCCAAAUAUGUCCAGGUCAGGUGGGUGAGGAGAAUGCUCAGGUGAUCUCAUCCAACUGCCACCCUUCUUCGCCUUGGUGAUUGAGGCUGAGGAUCUCCCCUCCCUCUGCUCCCACCUGGCCCACCUCCCUUAUUUCGAUCCACAACCCACCUUCCUUUCCCAUCUUAUUCCAUCAUCUCCAGCCCUAUCACCUCCCAGCUUCUGUGGCUAUCUGCACUGUCCCCUUUCCACCUGCCUAUCAUCAGGAUCCACCAAUCACCAGCUCUUGCUCCACCCUCUUUUUUACACUGGCUCCCAUCUACCUUUCAAUCCAGGUGAAGGGACUGCAUCGUCCAAUCAACAUUCCAAGAUGUCGACUGUCUAUUUCCCAGCCUGUUCCUCCAGCCUCUUGUCUUCCCACUCUUGUAUCUUUUUCAUUCUGUAUCUCCCUCUCCUUGUGUGUGGGAUGGUGGGCAUUUCAUUAGGGACAUUUAAGAGACUCUGAGGUUUUCACUUAGAUGAAAGAAAAUUAGAGGGGUGUUAGAUUGAUCUUGGAGUAGGUUAAAAUGUUGGCACAAUAUCGUGGGUCAAUGCCCCUACUAUGUUGUAAUGUAUGUUCUCCAGAGGAAAUUGGAGGUGGGUGAUAAUGGUAAGCGCUAAGUGUGUCAUGUUUAGUGGGCUUGGUGAGAAAGUUGGGUGAGGGACCCCUCCUCCAGAAGUCAGGGCAGUUCCAGCUGAGUGAAGCCCCGCGUUAACUCCCGCCAGUCGUCAGGCAUAAACCCAGCGCCACAAACAGGAACAAUUGCUUCAAGCGGCUGUCGUUGAAAGUCAGCCUUGGCCUGAUGAGGAAGUGUUGUCACAUUACAUCUGCCGCAGCAUUCUGGAAUUAGUGGUGCGGAAUGAGAUGACAGCGGAGCUCUAGGACCCUGGAGUGGAGCGUGGUUGAUGAACACAUCAGUGAAAGGUUCCCAUGCGUGAAAAAUUGCACUUCAGAAAACACUUCAGUGCUGAACCAUCUGGUCAACUAUUCUGUGCUAACGGCUCCGACUAAUUUUUAAUGUGCUUUUGAUCUAACUGCUGGAUGUACAGGUCACCUUUACUUUGCAGUUGCAGAGAAACUCCGUAAUAAAAAACACAAACAGAAUUAAUGGUUAAUACUCUGCAGCAGUAACUGCAUCUGUGUUCUUUCAGUUACAGUCGCAACCAGAUCUGCCAUUUGGAAGCUUUGAAAACUUCAUUUGGAGGAGAACAUUGCUGUUAAAAAUGCAUUAAACUGGGGCCUGCCACAUGAAGUGAGGCAGGACCAUUUCCGCCUAAACAAAAGAUAUCAGGUCUCUAUUCCAGUUCAUUAGCCCUGAAUUUCCUUAUUAAAGAUUGGCCUUGCUUGGCACAUGUGCAUCGAAACAUACAGUGAAAUGUGUUGAUUGCAUCAACGACCAGCACGGCCCGAGAUGUUCUGGACGGGGGGCUGCCACAGAUCCAGUAACAACGUAGCAUGCUCACAACUUACUAACCCUACCUGUGCACCUUUGGAAUGAGGGAGGAAACUGGAGAUCCCGGAGGAAUCCCAUGUGGUCACGAGGAGAGCGUACAAACUCCUUGCAGACAGUGGCGGGAAUUGAACCCUGAUCCUAAAGCUGGUGCUGUAUGUGGUAGAAGGUGGCGCCAGUGAACAACACUACCAAAGGUGACGUCCGCAAGAUGGUUAGUGAAGCAACUCCUUUCACUGACACAAAGUACACUGCAGAUGCUGUGGUCAAAGCAACACGUACAACAUGCUGGAGGAACUCAGCAGAUAUGGUCCUGCUAGAGUUUCAGCCUGUUAUCUGCUUUCUGGCGGUGUGAUUUCAGGCUGUCUCUAAGAGUGUUCAAAGAGGCUGCAGCCAGAUCCUGCGACAUGGAGGAGGGAAAGCCAGGAGAUGGGGCGCGGGCUCGUGAUUGACUCCUUCUCUCACAGAUCUCACCAAUUAAAGUACUGUGAAAAUUGAAAUCAUCGAGGUGGGUGCGGAGGGGAGUGAGGGUUCAGCACCGUCUACCAGUCUCUCGCUCGCUGCUCCCGAGGGCAGGUACUUGUGUUUGUGUGAUCUCUCUCUCCAUCGAUGAUGUUGGCGGAUGUGGCAGGAGCAAAGUUUAAUCGACGUGGAUUGGAGAUUUGAACUCUAACUCAAUUUUUACAAUGUUUUCUAUUUCUAGUUCUAGUUCUGGUCAUUUUUCUUUGUUGCUACUUUUGGGUGAGUUUCGGAUCGGGGUGAUAACGAACACUGAGCUGAACUGUAGCGCAAUAUGCCUUUUGAUUUUCUGUAUUACGUUCUGUGUUUUCGAUUUUUUUUGUUGCUGUUUGCGCGAUUUAUUUUUGCACGUGCGGGUGAAAGGGGGUUUGAUGUUUGAUGAUUUUCUUUGAACAGGUUGGUUCCAUGGUUCCUCUUUGUUUCGUGACUGUCUGUGAGGAAGAUGAAUUUCAAGUUGUAUACUGUAUACAUUCUUUGAUAAUAAAUCAAAGUGUUAUGCCAGACGCUAUGCUACAGAAAGUGUCCUGUCAGGUUCUAUUGCAGCCUGGUAUGGCAACUGUUCUGCUCUAGACAGAACGUGCAGAGAGUGAUAAACACU